AUUGAACGCUGGCGGCAGGCCUAAAACAUGCAAGUCGAGCGGAGCGGCGGACGGGUGAGUAAUGCCUAGGAAUCUGCCUGGUUGUGGGGGAUGACGUCCGGAAACGGGCGCUAAUACCGCAUACUAUCAGAUGAGCCUAGGUCGGAUGGGCUAGUUGGUGGGGUAAAUGCCUACCAAGGCGACGAUCCGUAACUGGUCUGAGCGGGUGAUCAGUCACACUGGAACUGCGACACGGUCCAGAGGCCUACGGGAGGCAGCAGGGGGGAAUAUGGGGCAAUGGGCGCAGGCCUGAUGCAGGGACGCCGCGUGGGGGAUGAGGGCUUUAGGGUUGUAAACCUCUUUCGCUAUCGAACGGGUAGGUGGAGAAGAAGCGCCGGCUAACUACGUGCCAGCAGCCGCGGUAAUAC
rnacentral:rRNA from 1 species